ensembl:lncRNA
UGUGAGCCUCUUUCACAGGCGCUUCCUGCUCACGUCAGCUCUGCGCGAUGGCAUUUUCCCUUCAGAGAUGUUUGUACUUUUCCAUUAGCCACAGACAAACUGCAGCAGUCGGAGCAAACGCACCAUUUUCACAUCGAGCUCUGCACAAAGAAUAGGGCCCCUGGAGGAGAAGACCGUGCGUCUGAGACACGCGGAGGCCUUUCUUACUUCUUUUUUUUUUUUUUUUUUUUCUCUCUGCCCUAGCUGGCACCGGGAAUAGACUUGUAGGCAGGAAAAGAGAAUCUGGGGGGAAAACUAAUGAUGAAAAAGUCUACUCUAUCCCUGUGCCUUCAUUAAAUACACGGAAAGAACGAGAGAGGCACAUCUGGAUUCAAUCCGCGUCCCUUUGAUGGCAUCAAGUGUUCUUUUCCCAGAUCAGGGGGCUGCGAGCUACGGGAUGUCUAUGGCAGCUCGGAGCCCAGAGUCGACUCUUGCCAUCUGACCCCCCCCCCCCACACACACACACACACAUUACCUCCAGCUCCCUCCAUUCCUCCGUCCCUUCACCCCCUCCACCUCUCCAGCCCGACUAACCUACAGUUCAAGAAGCACUGAGGGACUUUUACUCCACCAGGGCUCUCUGAUGGCUGGAGUUACCGCUUACUUUGCAGAUCCAGAGAAACGGUUGUCCCACAUGACGUACAACACAAAGACGUUUCUACCAAAAGAGUUAGGACUUGUUAUAGGGAGGUUCAACCAUAACAGUGACUUUUCUCUCACAGAUUUGAUCCUUUGGAACCGUUCGUAAAGGCCUCAGGAGACGGAAUGAGAUGGACGUUUUUGGGGGGAUGAAGUGGACGGUCCAGACUCUCCUCCGGCUCUGAUUGGCUGGCUAAGCGUUGCACACGUGUGGGCAAGUGGCUGAUUAGCUCGAUGAUUAAGAGCCGAGUGCUGUUUGAGGCCAGCGCUCAAAUGACACGAGCUUGAGACAAACAACAAAUAAAUACAAGCAGAGACAUUUUUCGCACCUUGUCCAAUAUUCACUCUCAUAGUUUGGUCUCCAAUAACUCCUGAGAAAUGUGUCCCCCUAACUGCAGAAUUUUGUAGUUCACCUGAUAGUAAUGUGGUUGCAAAUAUGCAUAUUGGUACCAUUUAAACUGCAUUUGCCUCUGGACAAUAUAAAG